AGUCACUGACAUUAGAUACCCGCGUAGUCCCAGCCGUAAACAAUGUGCGUUAGGUGUGUCGGUAACCACGUGUUACUGAUGCGCCGAAGAGAAAUCGUGAAACGCACCGCCUGGGAAGUACGGUCGCAAGGCUGAAACUUAAAGGAAUUGGCGGGGAGCACCACAACAGGUGGAGCCUGCGGUUUAAUUGGAUUCAACGCCGGACAUCUCACCGGAUAAGACAGCUGAAUGAUUGUCAAUCUGAAGGUUUUACAUGACUAGCUG
rnacentral:rRNA from 1 species